rnacentral:rRNA from 1 species
CAGAAAGACCCUAUGAAGCUUUACUGUAACUUGAAAUUGAAAUUGGACUUUAGUCGCGCAGUAUAGGUGGGAGGCGUUGAAAAUAUUCUUGCGGGAAUAUUGGAGCCAUCAGUGAGAUACCACUCUUCUAAUGUUAGAUUUCUAACUCUGUAUCAUUAUCUGGUCAGAGAACAGUUUCAGGCGGGCAGUUUGACUGGGGCGGUCGCCUCCCAAAUGGUAACGGAGGCGUACAAAGGUUUCCUCUGAACGUGUAGAAAUCGUAUCUAGAGUGUAAAGGCAUAAGGAAGCUUGACUGUGAGACUUACAAGUCGAGCAGGGACGAAAGUCGGUCUUAGUGAUCUGACGGUACUGAGUGGAAAGGCCGUCACUCAACGGAUAAAAGUUACUCUAGGGAUAACAGGCUGA